rnacentral:rRNA from 1 species
CCUACGGGAGGCAGCAGUGGGGAAUAUUGCUCAAUGGGGGAAACCCUGAUGCAGCGACGCCGCGUGAGGGAAGAAGGAAUUAGUUAUGGAAAGCUGUAUCAGUAGGGAAGAAAAUGACGGUACCUGAGUAAGAAGCCCCGGCUAACUACGUGCCAGCAGCCGCGGUAAUACGUAGGGGGCAAGCGUUAUCCGGAUUUACUGGGUGUAAAGGGAGCGUAGACGGCAGUGCAAGUCUGGAGUGAAAGGCGGGGGCUCAACCCCCGGACUGCGCUGGAAACUGGACGGCUGGAGUGCAGGAGAGGUAAGUGGAAUUCCUAGUGUAGCGGUGAAAUGCUUAGAUAUUAGGAGGAACACCAGUGGCGAAGGCGGCUUACUGUACUGUUACUGACGUUGAGGCUCGAAGGCGUGGGGAGCGAACAGGAUUAGAUACCCUAGUAGUC